UACAGAGGGUGCGAGCGUUAAUCGGAAUUACUGGGCGUAAAGCGCACGUAGGCGGAUUGUUAAGUCGGGGGUGAAAUCCUGGAGCUCAACUCCAGAACUGCCUUCGAUACUGGCGAUCUCGAGUUCGGGAGAGGUGAGUGGAACUGCGAGUGUAGAGGUGAAAUUCGUAGAUAUUCGCAAGAACACCAGUGGCGAAGGCGGCUCACUGGCCCGAUACUGACGCUGAGGUGCGAAAGCGUGGGAGCAAACAGG
rnacentral:rRNA from 1 species